CGGCUGGUACUUUAUGGGCACAGAGUGCCUGGAAUGUCGUUCCUGUGGGAAGAAGAUGGCCGCCUGGGUCCCGGACAUCAUCAAUCAGUUGGACCCGGGUCACCGGAAUCAAUUCCCGGCUGUACUCACCUACAAGCUGUCCUGCCACAAGUCUGUGAUCUCGCAGAUGAGGCAGCGGACUUUGGGCAACAGUGCGACCCGCCUUCGCAAACAGCUGAUGGAGGACCACACAGAGACCUGGAUGUCCUGCACUGCAACGUACCUCGGGGUGCUGAAGAAGCUGGGCGUAGCGGGUGCAGCAGUCAAGCCGGUGACUGUCCCACCCCUGCACCCGGUGCCCACCGUGGGCUGGCUCCUCUCCGUCUUUGUCAGGGACGCCCUGUCUAGGCUGGAGGCGACCAAGGCCAGGGUCACGUCUAUCUUCGGCAACAUUCUGAAGAUGGAAUCUACAAAGAAGAUGACCUCCAAGCUGGCUGGCAAAGCUGCGGGCACUGCAGCGUGGGUGACAAACGUGGGCAACGAGUACGGACAGGUGCUCAUGUCCGUCCUCACGGCUGCAGAGGGGGAUGGGCUUUUGCCCAUGGCCGCAGGGCUGAUGCGCCUGCUGCUGCGCCUGCUGCUGCUGCUGCGCCUGCUGCUGCUGCUGCUGCUGCUGCUGCUGCUGCUGCUGCUGCUGCUGCUGCUGCUCCUGCUGCACCUGCUGCUGCUCUUGCUGCCGCCGCCGCCGUUCCUCGCUCCACAGCCUGGCAGAGGAGGAUUAGAGAGGAGGAGCUGCGUCGUCAGCGAGAAAGGGGUCUCCCUCUUAAAGAGAGGAAGAUCUUUACACACUUCCGCUGUGGCCGCUGUGGUCAGCCCAAGACCAAACAGUAUGGCCACAGCCGCUACAGGGGAGAGUUCUUCUGUGCCACAUCGGAGGGUCGCUCUGUGGAUGACUGGUUGAAAGAGAAGAGACGACUGGACCCGAAAUACCAGCAGCCGCGCAGCUCCCGAUCACUUCACCUUGACACUCGCCCAAUCACCAGCUCCCGAUCACUUCACCUUUAUUCCAGGGAGACGAUCGUUCAGGGUGUGACUCUGUGGGGGGCAGGUAGGAGCCCCAUAAAGGCUGCCUGGAUGAGGCUGUUGGUCUCGUCAAGGUCUAGUCUCAGGCUGCAACAACUUUGGGGAAGUCCACAAAAAAGAAAUGGAAAACUUUGGAAGAACAGCACCUUUGAUAAAACACAUAGAGAGAAAAAGGAGCCAGGAGUAUACAGAAGAAACAUCAAGGGUAUCUUCUGAGGACGAAUCCCUUGCCUGGCACUCCCCAUGGAGAUCAUCAUCCUCCUCACCCGCCACAAGCACUGCCAACAUUGCUUUUCCAGUGGCUGCCACCACCGCUGCCACCACCGCUGCUUCACUACAAGAAUAUGCUGCAACUACUGAUUCACCAAAGGGUGCUGGGGCCGCAGCCGCCGCAGCCGCCGCAGCCGCCGACGCUGCCGCCACCGCUGCGUCAACUGCUGCUGCCGCUGUGUCAGACAUGGCCACUGCCGCCACCAAAGCUGUGGCAGCAGUCGCCGCCGCUGCUACAACCGCUGUCUCGGCAGCCGCCACCGCCGCUGCCUCAGCUGCCUCGGCAGCCGCCACCGCCGCUGCCUCGGCUCCCUCGGCUGCCUCGGCUGCUGCCGCCACCGCUGCUUCCUGUACCCGCCACAGUGGUCCAUCACGGAUGACUGUAUGGAGAAGAAGAAGGCAAAACAGGAGGAUGCAGAAGCCUUAAAAAAGGAGGAAGGGCGCCAACAACAGCGCCAAGAGGAGCCCCAAGAAGAGCUCCAAGAGGAGCCCCAAGAGGAGCCCCAAGAAGAGCUCCAAGACGAGCCCCAAGAGGAGCCCCAAGAGGAGCCCCAAGAAGAGCGCCAAAACCAAUGCCGACAUUGUGGACUUCCCAGGACCCUGUUGAAGGGGCAUGCCUUUUACAAAGGGCAUUUCUACUGCACACACACUGCAGGACCUGGGGCAAAGUCUGCCAAUGAGUGGCUGAAGGAGCAGGAAGAAAAGGAAGCACCAAAAAUUCCCAGGACAACUGCCUUCACCAUGAGGAAAAAGUGGGAGAAUGAGCACAGUUUCAAAUCUCCAAAAAACAGAAGGAAGCCGAAUAAACUUAGAAUCUGCCAGCUGUGUGGCCUGCCAAAGCAGAAAGAUUAUGGCCACAGCCAGCACCAGUAUGAACACUUUUGUGCUCUUUACGCUGGCAAAUCUGUAGAGUUGUGGCUGGCAGAGAGGAGGUGUAUGGAGUCACCCACCACAUAAUUACUGGUGUCACUCUGUGUGUGUGUGUGUGUGUGUGUGUGUGUGUGUGUGUGUGUGUGUGUGUAAAUAAUCAUGUUAAUUCAAAGUUUAUUUUAGCAUUCAUCGCUUGAAAGUCAAAUGUUAGUAGUAGUAGUAGUAGGAAAGAAGUGACCCUCCACCGCAAUAUUGCUUGUGUCAUUAUGUUGUGUGUGU